rnacentral:rRNA from 1 species
UACGUAGGUGGCAAGCGUUGUCCGGAUUUAUUGGGCGUAAAGCGAGCGCAGGCGGUUCCUUAAGUCUGAUGUGAGAGCCCACGGCUCAACCGUGGAAGGUCAUUGGAAACUGGGGAACUUGAGUGCAGAAGAGGAGAGUGGAAUUCCAUGUGUAGCGGUGAAAUGCGUAGAUAUAUGGAGGAACACCAGUGGCGAAGGCGACUCUCUGGUCUGUAACUGACGCUGAGGCUCGAAAGCGUGGGGAGCAAACAGGAUUA